GUUUGAAGGGACAUACGAUAAAAUUGAAAUAAUACAAAGACGAUUAGCAUGCCCCUAGCAUCCGCAAGGAUGACACAUACAAAUUGAGUGAAAUGGUCCAAAUUUUU